CAAUAGCGUAUAUUAAAGUUGUUGCAGUUAAAAAGCUCGUAGUCGGAUUUCUGGUGGGAGCGAUCGGUCUGGCGCUUAGCGCGAGUACUUGCAUCGUCUCCGGCCAUCCUUGGGGAGAGUCUGUCUGGCAUUAGGUUGUCGGGCAGAGGAUCCUCAUCGUUUACUGUGAAAAAAUUAGAGUGUUCAAAGCAGGCUUAUGCCGUUGAAUAUAUUAGCAUGGAAUAAUAAGAUAGGACUUUGGUACUAUUUUGUUGGUUUGCGCACCAAAGUAAUGAUUAAUAGGGACAGUUGGGGGUAUUCGUAUUCCGUUGUCAGAGGUGAAAUUCUUGGAUUUACGGAAGACGAACUACUGCGAAAGCAUUUACCAAGGAUGUUUUCAUUAA
rnacentral:rRNA from 1 species